CUGCCACGCCUCAACUCCAUCCACCUUUCUCCCCCACCGUGCCCACCCCACCUCCUUGCGGCCCACCACUGCUGCUGCACGCCUCCUGCACAACCACGCCCCGAUGUGCCGCCUCCUGCUACCUCCGUCCUCCUUUCCGGAUUCAGCCGAGCAGGGCCCCAGCAACCACCACCCCCGCCCAGAUCCGUCAGGCGCGCGCCGGAGGUGCCGAGCCGCGGCCGGAUCCAUGGAGUCGACCCCGAAUCCCAUCGUCCUCAAGACACGACUGCAUCGGGGCCGCAUCUUCCAUAGGAUCCAGAAUCUCCCACUUUCCUCUUUCCCGGCUCGUUGCAGUUUAGUGGUUGCACGCUGCGGCGCCGAUGCGUGCCCUGUACGCGGCUAGCUCUCCACCCUCUUCUUCAACCUACGGGUGGUACUACCACCGUGGGCGUGGGUGCCUAGCCUGCUGCCCCGCAUCGGCGCCUCUACGUGCAUCUCCGGCCGUCCAACCUCGCGCCUCGACGGCCUCCUACAAGCACGGCUAUGUCGACCGCGGAGUUCAGCUGGGCGCUGCAGCUCUCCCUCCUCACCCAUGCCACUUCGUCCACAUCGUCAGUGCUUUCGACAGACCACCUGCAGUUCGCCCCCUCCCCUUGGCGGCCCAGCGGCCACCACGAGCCGGUGACACCCUGCAUGCUGCAGUUCUUUUUGGGUUGAUGUUGAAUUAAUCGGUGCUGAAGGCCCGUGCAGUCUGUUGUGGCGCAAGCAUGCAGUACGGGCGGCGGCGAGGUAGCUCGUGUAGUUCCUGUACGCGGCGCGUGCGGUUUGUUUGCAGCCCAUGUGCACGAUGCAUGCAGGUCGUGUGUGUGUGUGUGUGUGUCGACGUUCAAUUCGCCGGGAAACUACAGAAGAAAAAUGAUCAUUUUUUUAAGUUCA